CCAAGUGGAUCAAGGCAGUGGAUUGUGAAUCCACCAUGCGCGGGUUCAAUUCCCGUCGUUCGCC
rnacentral:tRNA from 1 species